rnacentral:rRNA from 1 species
ACCGUCCCAGUUCGGAUUGCAGGCUGCAACCCGCCUGCAUGAAGUUGGAAUCGCUAGUAAUCGCGGAUCAGCAUGCCGCGGUGAAUACGUUCCCGGGCCUUGUACACACCGCCCGUCACACCAUGAGAGUCGGGAACACCCGAAGUCCGUAGUCUGACCGCAAGGGGACGCGGCCGAAGGUGGGUUCGAUAAUUGGGGUGAAGUCGUAACAAGGUACC